rnacentral:tRNA from 1 species
GAGAGUGAAGGCAGGUGGUUAGGGGUAUUAGCUGUUAACUAAUGUUUCAUGGGGUUAAAUCCCAUCAAUCUAG